GCCUUCGUGGUGUAAUGGUCAGCACACUCGGCGCGUAUUCGAGAGGUCCGAGGUUCGAGUCCCGGUGAGGGCA
rnacentral:tRNA from 1 species